GAUAAAAUGGCUGAGUUAGGCAAUAAAUUGUAAAUUUAUUAACGAAUAAUUAUUCUUUUAUCA
rnacentral:tRNA from 1 species